GAUGAACGCUGGCGGCGUGCCUAAUACAUGCAAGUCGAGCGAACAGACGAUGAUCUUGCUCCUCUGACGUUAGCGGCGGACGGGUGAGUAACACGUGGAUCACCUACCUAUCAGACUGGGAUCACUUCGGGACACCGGAGCUAAUACCGUAUAAUAUCUUGCACCGCAUGGUUCAAUAGUGAAAGACGGUUUUGCUGUCACUUCUCGAUGGAUCCGCGCCGUAUUAGCUAGUUGGUAAGGUAACGGCUUACCAAGGCAACCAUGCGUAGACGACCUGCGAGGGGGAUAGGCCACAUGGGAAGUGGGACAGGGACAAGAGGACUAAGGGAGGGAGCAGUAGGGAAUGGGCCGCAAUGGGCGAAAGUCUGACGGAGUAAGGGCGAGCGAGUGAUGAAGGUCCUCGGAGCGGAAAAAUCUGUUAUUAGGGAAGAACAGAUGUGGAAGGAAACGUGCAGGGAGUGACGGUAACGAAUCAGAAAGCCACGGCUAACUACGUG
rnacentral:rRNA from 1 species